UACGUAGGGUGCAAGCGUUGUCCGGAAUUAUUGGGCGUAAAGAGCUCGUAGGUGGCCUGUCGCGUCGGCUGUGAAAACUCGGGGCUCAACUCCGAGCUUGCAGUCGAUACGGGCAGGCUAGAGUUCGGCAGGGGAGACUGGAAUUCCUGGUGUAGCGGUGAAAUGCGCAGAUAUCAGGAGGAACACCGGUGGCGAAGGCGGGUCUCUGGGCCUGUACUGACGCUGAGGAGCGAAAGCGUGGGGAGCGAACAGG
rnacentral:rRNA from 1 species